CUCUUCUUGCUUUAACACAGAAGAAACAACCCAGGUUAUACUCUUUCAUCUAAACUGGACAUUUAUUUGUAAAUGAGGGAUUGGGCUGUUGUUGAAUAAACAGGGGAUAAGUUAAAAGAGAUUGCUUGAAGAAGGAUUCUGGGAGUUAACAAUGGCUGUGGACAUGUGAAGGAAUAGAAGAGGAGGCUGAAUAGAAGACUGAUAGCCUGGAGGAAUAAGAAGCCACAGGUGGAAUGAGCUAGAGUCCUGAGGACUGGGCAGAGCAGAAAAUCUCUCCCUCCCCACUACCAUCACCUACUGACUCACUGUGACCUGAACAACAAAUACGCUUUUACUGGCCUAAGCUACUAACUUUUAUGCUUGUGGAAGCACUGAACCAAUCUUGAUAAAGUAUAAAGCUGGAGGAGAAAGAAGGAGUAGGUUCCUUAUAAAUGGAUGAGUUUGGGCCCCUCUUGCUGUCCCUUGCUCCUCUGCCUUCCACCAUGAGAUGACACAGCAUGAAGGCCCUCAGCAGAUGCUGACCCCUCAAUCUUGGACUUUCCAGCCUCUAUAAUUGUGAGACAAUAAACUUUUGUUCAUUAUAAAUUACCCAGUCUAUGGUAUUCAGUUAUAACAGCACAAAACAGACCAAGACAGUCAUCAAGAUUAUUGGGAGUCUUGGAGGAAAAGCCAGUUUGGGAGAAAGAUUAUGCCUUCUUGUUGGAAUAUAUGAGCUUGAGCUGGCUGAGAACUAUGGGAAGAUGCCCAGGUACAACUGGAAAUUUCACCGUGGAGCUGAGGAGUGGACCAGAGCCAGAAGUGACUGUCUAGAACGAAGCCCACCCUGCCUUCCCUGAGCCAAUCUCUAAGACCCCUUAGGAAUAGAUACACCAAAAAUACUCUGAUCCCAGAUGUAGACCUGCACUCCAGUGUAAAGUCAACUUCACAAUUUUUCAACAAACAUUCUCAGAGGUAGAGAUGGACUAAAAGGUAGAGUCAAGUUUUACUGGAAAAAUGCUUGAUGGGUGAUGAGGAGGUGACCCUCAUCCGAUAGUGAACCCAGUCUGGUCUCGGUAUUCAUACUUUUGACAAAAAGGAAGAGACAAAGGAGAGACACAUUCCAGCAUGUGGUUGGUGCAGAAUGACAACAGGCAAUCCAACCACAAAAGAUAGGAAUGUGAUCUUGGCCCUGAGGAGAAGAACAGCAAAUACUCUUUGGCUCUGGGUGAAUUUAGAAAUGAAAGAGAAGCCACAUGUAAAUUUCACUAGCACUUUCACAGUGAUAAAUGAAAAUACUUUCACAAUAAAUGAGGUGCUACUAAAUAAACAAAUCACUUGAAAAUGUACUUGUGGGAUAGCGGAGAUAAAUUAAAAAACAGGUUAAAGUAACAUCUGUAUAUUAACAUCAUCAUAAAACAAGUUGGUAAUGGGGGGUAGCAUGCAAAGUACUAUGAAACAAUAAUCAGAAACUUUAUGUCAAUUAUUGAAAACCAUGACAUUGAUUGAGAGGUAUUACUCAGUCUCUGAUGUUUCUGCAGCACGUUUUUCCCAACUGGGUUUAUAAGAAGUGUCUAUUCAACGCUGAUAAAUACCCUUAAAUUCUAUCACAAUAUAAUCUGCCUUAGGAAGACUACAUGUUGAAUUGAUUCUUAUGACAUGAUGGCUCAAUGAUUUCUCACUGUCCUAGAGUGGUUGAAUAGCCA
rnacentral:lncRNA from 1 species